ACGCAAAAAAAAAAACCUGAAAGAAAGACAGAUACACGAAUGAACCUUGCUUGCUUUCUUCCUGAAUUCUUCUUUCUUCCCUUCUUUACUUCUCCCAU
rnacentral:ribozyme from 1 species